AAAAUACUCCCUCCUUCCAAAAAUUCUUGUCUUAGAUUUGUCUAAAUACGGAUGUAUCAAGUCACAUUUUAGUAUUAGAUACAUCCGUAUCUAGACAAAUUUAAGACAAGAAUUUUGGGAUGGAGGGAGUAAUAU
rnacentral:pre_miRNA from 1 species